UCUAUGUGUUGAGAAAUUUGGUGACAUUGUUGGAUUAAGAGUGAAGAAUGAUAGUUUAGCAUUUUGGGGAUAUUAUUCCAUUAAAAUUAGUUUUUUCAAAUUACAGGAGAUGGAGGAGGUAUAUUAUGAAUUGUUUUCUUGGUUUUAGAACUUUAUUUUUGUGUCCAGUUAGUGCAAUUUAUUUAAACUUGCCUUGCUAACUUCAGUAGCUAGCUAGCUACCAGCGCGAAUGUGUAGUUUUCUCUGCCAGAAUGGUCAAUGCUGCCGAAAAUGUUAUGGACUUUUUGUUGAAGAACCCCUUUCAUUUUCUGGGGUACAUGGAAAAGUUGCAAAUUAAAUGCAGGGGUCGACCUCUGCCUGAGCUCAGCUUCAUGAAGGAUGAAAAGUUGAGGGCGUUCAAUACCAACUGGUAUCAAAAGUAUAUCUGGUUAACAGGGAACUUUCAUCGAAGCCGCAUUUAUUGCUGACCUUACCUGCUUUUUGGAAAGUCUGAGCCUUGGUCGAAAGGUGGGUACAGUGACCUGAAGAACAUUGAUCGUUCAGCUAAAUGGCAAAACAGAAGCAGGGAGCAUAUAAAUGCCCAUAUCAGAUUCAAGCUUCUGGAAAAAAGCUGCAUCGAUUAUGACAAAGGUCUGCGUAUUCAAACUGCGCAACACAACUAGAAAGUAAGAAGAAACAGGGAUAUUAUCAAGCUGCUUAUCACGACGAGAGGUAAAGUUCCACCAACAAGGGCAACUACUACAAGGAGCUUGCAGAGCCAAGUCCCCUCCUGUUCCCUGAUUUUAAGAGGUGAUGACUACUCCACUUCACUACCUUUGUCAACUUUCUCCUGACAUUAACUGAAGCCCCUUCUCAUGUGCCCGCUCUUACACUGGCACGCACAUUGAAUACUUCCCCUCCAAGCACUUCAAAUCCUGUCCUGCAUUGGUCAAGCCUCUGAACACCCCAUCUCAUGCCUCAUACCUUCAUUCAAUCACUGCUGUGAUCCCUUUCCAACAUGGUAAAGGAAGAAACGAUGAUCUGAACAAAAAGCAGUCAAGCAGUCAGUCUGACAAACACACACACACACCAGACAAUAGAUUCGAGGAGAAACCCACCAAAAAUCCCUUCAGAACUUCACAGUCUGUCUUUUGUCAGGCUAUCUAGCGCUGUGAACGCACGCUGAUGCCCCACAGUAGGCCUCUGCUGCAUAUCUGUCUGCCUGUCCAUCAGUCACGGUUGAGUCAAACAUGACAGCCUCUGCCUGUGUGUCUGAGAGCGUUAAAGCACAGUGUAAUCUGACAACACAAAGCAGUAAGAGCUCUAAAAUAGCUAUGAAAGCUCUACUCUGUACCCAUUGUUUUAAUAAAGCUCUACUCUUUAACCAUUGUUUUAAUAAAGCUCUACUCUAGCCAUUGUUUUUAAUAAAGCUCUACUCUAUAACCAUUGUUUCAAUAAAGCUCUACUCUAUAACCAUUGUUUCAAUAAAGCUCUACUCUAUAACCAUUGUUUUAAUAAAGCUCUACUCUGUACCCAUUGUUUUAAUAAAGUUCUACUCUGUACCCAUUGUUUUAAUAAAGCUCUACUCUAGCCAUUGUUUUUAAUAAAGCUCUACUCUAUAACCAUUGUUUCAAUAAAGCUCUACUCUAUAACCAUUGUUUCAAUAAAGCUCUACUCUAUAACCAUUGUUUUAAUAAAGCUCUACUCUGUACCCAUUGUUUUAAUAAAGCUCUACUCUGUACCCAUUGUUUUAAAAAAGCUCUACUCUAUAACCAUUGUUUUAAUAAAGCUCUACUCUAUAACCAUUGUUUAAAUAAAGCUCUACUCUAGCCAUUGUUUUUAAUAAAGCUCUACUCUAUAGCCAUUGUUUUUAAUAAACCUCUACUUUAUAGCCAUUGUUUUUAAUAAAGCUCUACU